CGAAAAUGUGAUUCGUCGUGUUUUGUUUUUCGUGUCCCUUCAUAUAGUGGAAUUUGUUUAAUGUAAUACACUUGACGCUGUUUUGAAGAUUUUAUCAACACCACUAUUAAACACAAGUUUUGCUUUUUCUGGCAUCACACGGCAGCAGACCUCAAAUUCAUCAAUAUUAAUGGAACAGCCCGUUACCUCUAAACUGACGCCGCGCGGAGCUUCAAUCUGGAUCGCCUUCCGCCUCGAAACUGGCAACCAACAUUUUCCGGCUUAUAUAGUUAGAACCUAUUCCGAACAUCCCUUUCAACUGGUGAAUUCCAUAAACGGACUCCCUGCUGGACAGCAAAAUAGGGCAAGCAAACAUCUAUCGGUCGUGAGAUGGAAGAAUUCAUCCAGAGAAUCGAUUUCGAGUGAUUCACUCCGAGUUAAACUGCCCACAAUCACAGUUACGUCGUUAACGAACUGCUUACCUGGAUGCCAUUUUCAUCUCUGAAGAGUUUCGCAACGGCCUCUGUGAUUUUGUGGUCUCGCUCAAUUCCUUCAGUGUCUCCGAAUCCCGGCGUGUCUACGAUAGUCAGCGAAAAGGGAAUUUGAAAUCCAUCUCGGUAGUGAAGGUGGUAGACAGUAACAUCUUGGGUUUGACUGUGAGCUUGUGACCCUCCUUGGAGAACCUCGUCGACGAGUCUAAAGCGGAAAGGAUCGGCCCAUUCGACUCCCAGCUCAUAGUUGAUCAUGGCGUUGAUCCACGUCGUCUUUCCCGAUCCGGUUCCUCCCAUCAGUAAAACCGUUUUGCUCCUGUCACUCCCCGGUGGGUUAGAUGGGCCAUAAGAAUAUCGCCUGACAGUGUUGGCGGACGCCUCCGAAAAGUCAAAGUUAUUUUCUAAAGCCGGAACGCAGCAGCCGCGACCCCCCACUUGACUGCCCUUAACCUAGACUGCUGUCUGGGAAUUUAACCACUGCGUAGUGUUCAGCGAAAACAACUUUGGAAACAUUUAUAGAAUAUUGGCUGUAGCUUCCGGCUUCCCAGUCCAGCCAGAAUUGCCAAGGUUUACAACUCAGCCUAAAACAGGACACUAUAAAUAACCCUAUGAUUCCUUUUAGACUUCGUAUGCAUUUAAACGGUUGUAGCCUACACUUACUUUUGAAUUUACGAUUGAUUAUAAACCCUUCCUUGUCUAGAGUAGGUCUAUAUAGGCGUUGCCAGUUAAAGUUGUGUUUAUAUUAAGAGCCAAGUAAAAGCAUAACUGCCAAGCCUAUAUUUUGCUAUAACUGAGCGUAUUGUAUAAGAGUUAAAUGUCUUUUCUUGCACAAAUCGAUUUCACUGCCGACCUAAAAUUAUAACUCGCUGGAAGGAAAUCAAUCAAACUAAGAUUAAGCAAAUAGCCAAAAAUUGUUGUUUCACAAAGCGAGGCUCCAACUCGCAACCUCGGCGUUAAUCUUUAACAAUUUUAUUAGCGGAUCCUAAUAUAUACGACCGUACAAGUAUACCAUGCGCUGACCAUAGCCACUGCUUGCGGUUGAUCUUUCCGCCACACAAAAUUUUAAAUUGAAUUUGAGUUUAGUAGUUGACGUUACGAACCCUCAUUUUUACAGACCUGACAUAGUAGCAGAAUUAAAAAUAGUUUUAAAUUUCUCUGUGAUUUUUUAUUUUGAAUUAGACAUUUUUUUUUGUAAUUUUGUGGAUGAAAAUGAUUUAACUUGUCGUUAUUGUAUGUGAUGUACGUGAAUUACUCGGGUGAUGUUGGCAGUCUCAAUAAUUUCAGCCAUGAAAAUUGAUUUGCCUUUGAGAUGGCAAUCACCAGCUCCGACUCCAGUUAAAAUGGCAUCAACCCAUAUUGGGCCCGAUAAUAAUGUAGAAACGAUGCCCAUCUAGAUUUAUAUACAAAAGUCGCAUAAAUAAAGACCUAACAAGCUUGUUUGUGCACAGCAUUUAAUCAUUUGAUUACCUUUGUGAAAGAUGUUGUCGUUGGUAAUGAAAUUAACUCCGUCUUGGGGUUCUAUGCACGGAUGUCUGACUUGAAUUAGUUCAGUGCUCCCCGAUCCUUUCUCCAAGAUUUACGGUCUGACGUACCGAAUUGGAGCGCUAAUUGAACAUACGGCGAAACUUGUCAGUACAUCCAGCUUUGACAAGGCAUCGUUCAACGACUGCAGAGGUUCAACGUAUCCAACUGCGUGUAAACAAUAAGAAAUUAGGCAUUUCCCGACAUAUACGUCUACGAGGGAUAUAAAUUGUAAUAACUAUACGUACCAGCGACUGACAACUGAAACUUUGUUGUUGCUCAUAAUCACGGCGUACUUUCAAGUAAGUUUCGUCGACUUCUUCCAAGGCAGAGUUCCGGAAUCGUACGCCAUUUUUAUUAGUAUCAAUUGUAUGGUAUAAUUGCGGAUGUUGCGAAGAUUCUUUUCAUCCUUCAGGGUGACUCGGAAAUAAUAUCCGAUCUGUGCGUUGCUCUCCAAUUUGACGCUCUUGGAAGUCCCCAGCUUGAGAUCGGAUGCCGCUCAGGAGAGGACCUUUUCAGCUCUCGAGCCGCAAUCAUCUAGUUCAUUUUUGAGCUCUAAUAGCGGGCCGAAUUAAGUCAUUAACUUCAUGAUUCCCCUGGCAAAUAACGCGCAUGCAAAUGUGUGUAUACCUCCUAGUUGGUCAUGACGAUAAACUCGCCUUGAUUUGCUUGAUUGAGGUCUAUAGUUGUCUCUACCUUAAUUUGACAAGCUUUUCGUUCGCAUUUCGUAAUGGCUGGAUGAGCACGCCUAUAACAACAGCGGCAUGAUCCCCCUGGUUCUCCAGUAAGCAGUCGACCAGUACCGACAAGCGACUCAAGCCCAAGUACAACCUGCAGCAGAAAAAAUCGUCAAGGAGGAGCUCAAAGUCAUCAGCUAAUCAACAGUCAUUGGUAAUCCGGCAUCCGUCGGAGGUGAUCCUCUGUUAUCGUUUGUCUUAGCUGGACAUCGUUGACGAAUGUUUCUACGACAUCUAGACGUAGCCUAUUAAUCCUGUCUAUUAUAGAGGAUGUUUGAUCCACUGAGCCAACAGUUGCUGCCCACCCGAAGUUUGAGAAGCAGCUGGGCAGCGAUUGUACGAGGAGCUCCAGCUUUGGACGUCACCAUCGUGGAGACUUCAGCUCCGUACGAAGUCAGAUGCAAGGCGGCGGAUGCUGCCGAAUCAAGUCUCAUGUAGUAUUGAGUAAAAUCAAACUUAUGUAGACUGUACUUUCCAAAGUUUGUUUCGUCGGUCAUUGGCUAUAGAAAAUAUUUCAGUAGUAAAUUGUAAAUAGUUUAGAAUAUGUGAAGAUAAGUUACGUCUAGAUGUUUGACUAAGGCGGCCAGAACUGCCAUGGAAUGAUCUAAACUGACUUCAGGAAGCGCAGCUGCGUUUUCUUGUUGUCCUUUUUUGAAGCGCAAUAGAGAGAUCGAUUAAGUUCGAUUAAGUAAUCGAACUGAUUCAGCUGUGGAUGAAAACUCAGCUGACUUGUUUUCAUUUACUAUUAGCAGUCCAUGCCGGUUCAGAAUUGUUUUCGGCGCAACGUAGGCGUCCAUGUGGAAUCAAAACCUCCUGCGGCUCCAAAAACCUCCGAGUGAAAAUCUAGUGAUUAGUGUAAAUUUUAAUGUGUCUGUGAGUGUGUGAUGAUGAUGGGGAAUCCCUGUGCUGGCCAAAAGUCGAACGUCAAAAACGACCUAAUGGAAUCCCUCAUGAUAUCGAAUUGAUGCAAACAAGAAACUGGCGGGAGAAUUCGAAAUUCCAGUUUUGCAUGCGAGUUACUCAAUCUCGCCGAGUUCUAAUUUUAAAGAGCAUCCAAGUGUUUAAGGAAAGGAAGCGAUCUUCCUCGUUCACUACCACCGUCUUUGAUAACAACUUGCCGCAGAAUCUUUUGGCGAGAAAACAUGGACGACGAAUUGUUGUUCGUCAAAGUAAACCACCAGCAAACGACAGACUGUCAGCUGUCAGCCAUCGUCUUUUUUUAUUUUUCUCAUCGUUUUGCUGUUGAAAAUCAUCAACUCUUCUGAACUGGCAAUUCCACUGGUGGCGAACAACGAACAUAUCGAGGUCGCCUGGCGGAUGUUAGACGUCGAGCGCAACUUUACCUCACCGAUGUCUACAGAGUCGCUAAAUCCCCGCUGACGUCAUUUUACGAAAACCUGGUCGCUUCUCUCGCAAGGAUGCUUGCCGAUCGUGAGGCUCAGCUGGAGCGAUCGCUUCUCAAUAAGAAACCGCGUAGGAUUUCGUUCAGUCCUGAUCAAAGUAAGUCAAAUUAAAUCCAAUGCAUCUUUAUUGAUCGGUCGUUUUGAUAAUUGUCUACCGUAGUGCAUCAGAGAGUGAUAUUACUAGUUAAAGUUAGAUUUUAACACUUGUGGCCGUAUUAGAUCGUCGAUUAUAAGAAUACGAACUUAUAAGGUCGACGAGUGUUAAGAAUAAUCCUUCUCAAAAUCGACGACGCUGAAACGGAAAGUAGCAUUCAUUCCGUUAGAAAAUGAAAUAAUAAUGCAUAGGAAAUUGAAUUAACAUGUUGUUUUUUUAUGAAUUAGAUAAUACCGAUAACGACAAAUCAAUAGAAGUCCGUUUGAAUGACGGUGCAGUUCCGGCUAAGGUCAUCAACAGGGCCGUCUUGAACAACCGAUUCAAUUCAAUCAAACUCUACAGAUCUUUACCCAAUCGUGUGGUCGAACCUACUCGACAUCUUUUAAAACCUAUUUCAGACAAUAAAAUUGUUUGCAUCACAACUUCUCCCAGCGGAAGCGACGCCGGAAUUUAUGGCACGAAUUUAUCUGCUCCCUUUCCGACGGCCGGUCCUUGCAUCGCUGAAAAAGUCAGUUACAUUAGUAAGUACAUCAAAACAUUUUUUUUUAAAUGAGGAAGUUGCUCCAAAAUUUCUUGUGUUACAUCCGGUCAAAAUUUUUGGCGAAAUUCUGCGAAAUUCACUGGAAGCAAUCUGAUUUUCGAACGUUAAUGGAACGGUCAAUCCACCUGUAUCCUGACUGUUAAAAACAAGAGCAAAUAAUUGCUGCAACUUCUGUCGAAACCAAUUUGCUAAAUCCGGUUAACAAUUCGUCAAACGUAAUCGAGUUAACAAUAGUAAAGGAUCUAUCUCCCUUGUAUGAAUAGGCUAGAGUUUAAGCCACUCUCCAUUAGGCCUACUCAGUCGACUUCCUUUUUGAGAAAAUUACUCUGCAAUAAUUAGCUUCAAUUAGCAUUUUCUAAAAUAUGAUCAGAAUCGAACAAAUGAAAUUUCAAUUUUGCCAAAAGCAGUAAAAAGUCGCAAAUAGCGAAAAAAUAGAUAUGUAGUGGAAGAGCUAAUAACACAAAAAAUAAGACUCAUAAUAAGGUACAAAUAAUAAGAUAAGAUAGCAAAAAACGCAUAAUGAACUUCUGGUACAAGGGACAGCCAGACAGGAAAACAGUGAUAACGGAUUAAUCUUGUUCAUUUUUGCAACAUGCUCCGCUAUUAGUCUAAUCUGAGUUGAUCCCAUUUAAAAUAAAAAAAAGAAAAAAGAUUAAAAAAAAAAAGACAUGAAAAGAAAAGUAAAAAAAAAGUCCGAUUUACAAAUCUAAUUUGGCAACACGGUUUUCUUGACAAGAAUUUUUACAACGCGCGCCAAAACAAGAAAAACACAGAGAAGCAAAAUACUGAAAAUAAGUAACGUCAUGGGAAUCAUGGCUGAUUCUACAAAUGUAUUACCAGAUCUUCCCCAUGAACAAGGUUUUAUCAGUUUCUAUGGAAAUCUUCCAGAGAUACAUGCCCUACCCUGCGAUUUUUCGGUCGAGGGGAUAUUUUUUACCAAUUAAGAGCAAGAUGUCCUUUUUGCUUCAAGAGAUUACUUCAAAACACACAGUGUCGUCAGGAUGUUGGGGUAUGGAGCUAAGAGGUUGGAAUCGGUGGUCUUUAACAAAAGUCACUUUGAGAACUUUGCAUGUGAUGUAGUCAGCAAGCACUACUGCAUUGAAAUCUACAAUGGAUCCAAAAGUGACAGGUCUCUCCAAUUUCAAUUGGUAUUCUAGCAUUCAAAAUUGGCUCAGAAAAUCAAAUAGGAUGCAGCUAUGUGGAUACUUAAGCAAGAAAGAUACUUGUGGCACAGUUUUCAGACAAUGAUGCCAAAUGAUGCCUUCUCAAAUUUAGAAUCUCUCAUCGUCCAAGAGGUUUUGAUUACACAUGGUGAAGCCUACAUUCGUUGCCCUUGUUAAGCCCUUGUUAAGUUACCGCUUAAAGCUGGUUCCAGAGAAGCAACAGCAAUCGUCAACAGCUGCAACUGGCGGAUCCAUCCGGCCUCCAUCCGGUUCUCGGCUGUUCACGGCGGUGGCGCUGGCAGCCGGUCGCACAGCGUCGAAAAUAGUUCGGUCGUCAUCCGGCGAUGGCGAUGGAUCCCAUGACGGGAUCCAGCGACUGGCUCAGCACCAACAGCUUCUCCUUCAUCCAGACAACGGUCAACAACGAUCCGGGGGCGGCGCUGACCCUCCGGCGCAAGUACGGACUGAUGGCCUUCAACAACAAGUCCAGCGACAAAGUGCUAGGCAGCAGCCACCACCAUCUCCACAACAACAUCAAGGGCGACGUCAUCCGGGUCAUGCGGACCCAGUGGGAGACUCAGAUGAAGCAGAUGGAUCAAAUCCAGCCGAGUUACGAGGAGCAGGACUAGUGCAACGACAAAAGGCUGUCGCAGACUAACAAGUCGACGGCCAAGAAAAAAAGAGCCCGGCACCUCGUCCCGCCAUUCCACCCACAACCAAUCCAGUUUGGUCGCAUUCAGCGGAUUCACUCACGUGCCGGGAAAGAGAAAAGCGGCUUCGCCUCCAGAUCAGCAAAAUCCGACCAAGACUUUCAACAUCGUCGCUCCUUAUCCGGUGACGACGGCGGCGCUACCCGACCUGAUGGAAUCGACUCCGCCUGAAGCUUGUCCUCCGGAGGAGAGCAACAACAAGUGAGGCAACGACCUGAACUGCAAUUUGCUGCUGGACGAGAAUAGCAAAGUGAAACUGUUCGCCGGUAUCAGCAAAACAAAUUGGACGACUGUCCGCUCAAAAUCAACGACAUCCUCAAAGUAGAAGGCGGAGUCCUCCGUCCGCUGGAUUCUUCCAACAAGCAGCAGCCGCAACAAGCGGAAGCUUCCACCACCGGUUCGACGAUGAUUUCCAACCACGAUGGAUUCCAACUCUGGCAUAAUGACCCUUUCGCUCGAGCCGUGCUGGUACAAACGUGGCCGGAAUCACGGAAGCAACGCGGAAUAAGCCAAUUGCAAUACCUUACAUCAGCACUCAUAUCCGCCAACGCAGCGUCGCGAUCAAAAUAAUGGAAGGUUGCGGCUCUUCUUCACCAAUGCCCUUCUUCCUCCGGUGACGUACGAGUGCAACAGCUGGGCGAUGGGUUUGUUGGCCAGUCACCACAACCUCCACCCGUCAGAAUCGAACACGAUCCGCUCCAAUUAUUCGUCGGCCGUCAGUCCCGGUGGAUCGACCAGGAUUGAAGGCUAGUACGUUCUCAACAAUCCGGCGCCAGUUCCUAAGUUUAAAAUCAGCCAACCUUCGCCUCAACCCGGUCCAGCUCAAGGUGAACCAGCCCGUCCCGACCCAGCGCCACAUUCGACCAACAACGGAGCCCGGAAGUCUUACAAAUUACGAGGAGGAUCGGUACAGCACUUGGGAAGCGACGGCCAAACAACACCAUCAACCAGCAACCUGCUAACAAGAUCAAAGACCCUCAACUAACAACAACAACCAACAACAUCGCAACGGAUGAACAGCAACUGGCGGAGUCUGAUUAAGUGGAGACUGGCGGAUCGGAUCCUGUGGAUGGCUGGAUCUACCCCAGCUGCUGCAUUUUGGUUAACCCAACGAAGACACGAGGCUUGCGCUGUCAAUCGACGGCCGACGGAUCAACUUCCGGCAGUAAGCAAGCCGAAAGUGGUGGACCUGCGCACUGGACUAGCGACGUCGUAACCAACGCCGACACUUUCGAUUGUCCGGUCCGUCCGUUUGAUGACCGUUCCCGCGAGCGUGGGCGUCACCCUGAGGGAAUGUCACCACAAUUUCUGCAGGGAUUGUUUUUGGCUCACCUGAUUGAAUUCAGAGAUGAAGUGACCGGUGACAUGCCCGUACCACGACGACAAUUACGCCUGUGACGUCAUCCUACAGGAACUUGAAAUCAAAAAUUCGCUGUCGCAAGAGCAACUGCCUCAUCACUAGCCAGUCCAUUCACGAAGGCGCCAAGUGCAAGGAAUUUCAGGAUCGAGUCAACCAUAGUGCCGAGACGGACGAGGACGCCAGCAGGUGGACCAAAGAAAUGAUCGAUGCGCUGCUGGUCAGUGGCCCUUUCGUGCCCGCAGCGUCAGGUGGUGUCAGGGGGUCCAUAUGAAACGUUUGGCGGAUUGCGAUUAAGUCCGCUGUUCCGUCUACCGGACGGAAGUCUGUUUGGUCACCAAACAAAAUCGCUGGGGUCCAAAGGGCAAAGGUGACACGGGCGGUGGCUUUCGGUGUGGCGUUGACGUCAAAUAUCAUCUCCUCUGCAAUUAAUGCCAUUAAUUAAAACUAAAAUUUGAUUACCGUAGAAUAAAAUUAUUUCGCCGAGUCGUGUGCAAUUGAAAUUUAUUGACAUUUGAAAUGCGUGUAUUUAAUCAAUGUUUGGCAUGUUUUAAAAAG
rnacentral:lncRNA from 1 species